rnacentral:rRNA from 1 species
GCAGGAAAUUUAAGGGCAUGUGGUGGAUGCCUAGGCUCUAGUGAGGCGAUGAAGGACGUAGCGUAGCUGCGAUAAGCUUCGGGGAGGUGCUUAGCAACCUUUGAUCCGGAGAUUUCCGAAUGGGGCAACCCAGCCGUUUUGACGGUUACUCCAACACCUGAUGUUGGAGAGCGUACCCUGGGAAGUGAAACAUCUCAGUACCAGGAGGAGAAGAAACCAAUAGGAAUUCCCCAAGUAGCGGCGAGCGAAACGGGAAGAGCCCAAACCCGGUCUCACCCGAUACACUUUUCUGAGUGUAUCGGGUGGUACCGGGGGUUGUAAGGCGACAGUGUCGCAUUUAUGUGAGGAGAGUUACAAAGUGAUUCGUUAGUGGAAUGUGCUGGGAAGCACAACCCCAGUGGGUAAUAGUCCCGUACACGAAAACGAUUCACCUCUCUUGCUGUUGUCCUUGAGUAGCUCGAGACACGAAAAGCUCGAGUGAAUCUGCCAGAACUAACUGGUAAGGCUAAAUACUCCUAGAGACCGAUAGUGAACAAGUACCGUGAGGGAAAGGUGAAAAGUAGCCCGGAGAGGGCGGUGAAAUAGACCUGAAACCACAUGCCUACAAGGAGUCGAAGCGGUGAGUUUAUUCGAACCGUGACGGCGUGCCUAUUGAAGAAUGAGCCAACGAGUUUAUGUGUGCGGCUGGCUAAGGUCUCUCGACCGGAGCCACAGCGAAAGCGAGUGUGAAUAGCGCGAAAUAAUAGUCGUACGCAUAAGACCCGAAGCGAAGUGAGCUUGCCAUGGGCAGGGUGAAAUAACUGGAAACAGUUAUGGAGGCCCGAACCGACUGGUCGUGCGACUCCAGCGGAUGACCUGUGGUAAGGGGUGAAAAGCCAAUCGAACUUCGUAAUAGCUGGUUCUCUCCGAAAUAGCUUUAGGGUUAGCGUCGCGUGUUCCUUUUGGGGGUAGAGCACUGGAAGGUGUGAAUAGGGGGAAACCUCGUCACUCCUAUCAAACUCCGAAUACCAAAAGUUAAUAGCGCGGCAGUUAGACCGUGGGGGCGAAGCUCCACUGGUCAAAAGGGAAACAGCCCAGAUCGCAGGUUAAGGUCCCAAAAUCUAUGCUCAGUGCACUUAAGGAGGUGAGGUUUCUCAGACAAUGAGGAGGUUGGCUUAGAAGCAGCCAUCCUUUAAAGAUAGCGUAACAGCUCACUCAUUCAGAGACUUUGCGCCGAAGAUUAUCGGGGCUUAAGCAUAGUACCGAAACCGCGGGCUUGGUCGUGCCUCAUUGCACUCGACACAAAGCUUCAUCAGAGGGAUUGAGUUUCGUAGCUUCUCAGGGUGAAAACUCAGAAGCUUGGAAGCUUAUCAUCUGAAAAGCUUAAAGCGCGAGUGUAGCGAGGUGCGACUGAGCGGUAGGAGAGCGUUCUGUUCCGCGAUGAAGCUAAAGGGGUAACCCAUAGUGGAGCGUUCAGAAGUGAGAAUGUUGGCACGAGUAGCCGCAAUGCGGGUGAGACUCCCGCACGCCGAAAAACCAAGGUUUCCUUGGCGAUGUUAAUCAGCCAAGGGUUAGUCGGGCCUAAGUCGAUCCCGAAAGGGGGAGACGAUGGACACAUGGUUAAUAUUCCAUGACCGCAUACAUAUGCGAUGGAGAGACGGAGUGUUGUACUCUUAGCGCGUUAUCGGAUUCGCGUUGGUGCUCUGAGGAGGUUGUCUAGGCAAAUCCGGACAACAUAACUCCAAUGGAGAGCGAAAAUCGGAGGCUUCGGUCGAAGAAAUUAAGAGGAGCACGCUUCCAAGAAAAACUUCUAAGCUCAAUAUGUAUGUGCCCGUACCGCAAACCGACACAGGUGGUUAGGUCGAGAAGACCAAGGCGAACGAGUGAAAGAUCCCCAAGGAACUCGGCAAAAAAUCGGCCGUACCUUCGGAAUAAGGCCUUCCAGCCGUAGAUUCAGUCCUGAUACAAUACACACAUGUAUUGGGUAUAUGUUUUGCGCCAAAGCAAAACAAGAGAGUUGUACAUAGGCAAGACUAACGAUCUCAAGCGUCGGCUUCGAGAUCAUCAAAAAGGUAGGCAAUCUGCUACUCGUCGGAAAGACGGUGAGUGGAGAAUUGUAUACGCCGAAAUGUAUAUCUCGAAGCGUGACGCUGAUGAGCGUGAGCGCAAACUGAAGCAGCAUGGUAGCAAUAAACGAUGGCUGCUUGAAAGAAUCAAACACUCUGUGUUUGAGGACUGAAUCUACGGCUGGACGCAGCGAAAGACCCCCCGGCGACUGUUUAUCAAAAACACAGCUCUCUGCGAACUCGUAAGAGGAUGUAUAGAGGGUGACGCCUGACCAAUGCCAGAAGGUUAAGUACGGACGGUCUGAGGAGUUUUACUCUUCAGGCUUGGCUGUAUAAGCCCUGGUGAAUGUCGGCCGUAACUAUAACGGUCCUAAGGUAGCGAAAUUCCUUGUCUGGUAAAUUCAGACGUGCACGAAUGGCGUAACGACUGGGGGACUGUCUCGGGGAUUUGCUCGGCGAAAAUGCGAUACCGGUAAAGAUGCCGGUUACCUGCAGCGGGACGGAAAGACCCCGGGAGCUUUACUACAACUUGAUAUUGAAGGUAUGAGUUAACUGCGUAGCAUAGGUGGGAGACUUUGAAGCAGUCCUUUUGGGGAUUGUGGAGUCGUCAGUGAAAUACCACUCUUUUAAUUUGUAUCUUCUAACCUGGACGGCAAAAACGUACAGGAACAGUAUCUGGUGGGUAGUUUGAGUGGGGCGCUCUCCUCCUAAAAAGUAACGGAGGAGUCUAUUAAGGUUAGCUAGGCGCGAAUGGAAACCGUGCCGAUAGUGUAAUGGCAUAAGCUAGCUUGACUGUGAGACGGGCAUGUCGAACAGGCGCGAAAGCGGAGCAUAGUGAUCCGACAGUUCGUAUUAGAUGCGGCUGGAGCUCAACGGAUAAAAGUUACCCCGGGGAUAACAGGCUGGUACUGCCCAAGAGUCCAAAUCGACGGCAGUGUUCGGCACCUUAACGUUAUGUUACAAACAUAUAAUCGGGGUGCCUACGAGAGUAAUCUCGUACAAAAACAAAUUGGCUAUAACGGUGAACUCCACACACCAGCGCUACCCCCACGUGGUGGUAGAAUACAUGUAUGGACAAUACCGUGGAAAGACUGAAUCAAUUCCAGAAAUCAGUAGUUAUUGGUUCGAUUCUCGGCGACGGUUACAUGCGAAUUGUACCGGGACGUCAGAAUGCAUUUCUGGAAAUCAAUCAUGCGGCGAGUCAACGAGAGUACGUGCUGUGGAAAUACCACGUACUUGAAGGAAUUCGCGCCGGCAUACCAACUGAACGUCAUGGCAAUGGAAGUCGUAGAGCGAUUCGCUUCAAUACAAGACAGGCAGAGGAACUGACUUU